GGGUGGGUUGACUCAGUGGUUAGAGCGUAGGUCUCAACCGAAAGGUUGCGGGAUCGAGUCCCGCUAGAGGCA
rnacentral:tRNA from 1 species